rnacentral:rRNA from 1 species
GGGUCAGUAGGUUGGUCGUGCCACCGGUACGUACUGGUCUCACUGAUUCCUCCUUCCUGAAGAACCGUAAUGACAUUAAUUUGGUGUUGCGGGGAAACAGGACUGUUACUUUGAAAAAAUUAGAGUGUUUAAAGCAAGCUAACGCUUGAAUACAUUAGCAUGGAAUAAUGAAAUAGGACGAUCGAUCCUAUUUUGUUGGUUUCUAGGAUUGACGUA